GGAACAACCUAAAUACCUUGCUGGGCAAUAGGAUCUAUAUCAGGAUCAAUGAUGGAGGAACAAGUGAAAACAAGUUUCUUGUGAUGGUGAUACGUGAUUUGUUAAACCUUUGUGAGAUUACAAAAGGCAAAGCCAACAAAGUAGUUAUUGCAAGUAAUAUAAUGCAAAUGACCGUGAACUCCAGUUUUCGAUGGUUGAUGGUGAUUUCAAGAAGUUUGAAGGAAAAUGGUCUGUCAAAUCUGGUAAAAGGUAAAUUCU